UGGGGAAUUUUGGACAAUGGGCGAAAGCCUGAUCCAGCAAUGCCGCGUGUGUGAAGAAGGCCUUCGGGUUGUAAAGCACUUUUGUCCGGAAAGAAAUCCUUGGCUCUAAUACAGUCGGGGGAUGACGGUACCGGAAGAAUAAGCACCGGCUAACUACGUGCCAGCAGCCGCGGUAAUACGUAGGGUGCAAGCGUUAAUCGGAAUUACUGGGCGUAAAGCGUGCGCAGGCGGUUUGCUAAGACCGAUGUGAAAUCCCCGGGCUCAACCUGGGAACUGCAUUGGUGACUGGCAGGCUAGAGUAUGGCAGAGGGGGGUAGAAUUCCACGUGUAGCAGUGAAAUGCGUAGAGAUGUGGAGGAAUACCGAUGGCGAAGGCAGCCCCCUGGGCCAAUACUGACGCUCAUGCACGAAAGCGUGGAGAGCAAACAGGAUUAGAUACCCUGGUAGUCCACGCCCUAAACGAUGUCAACUAGUUGUUGGGGAUUCAUUUUCCUUAGUAACGUAGCUAACGCGUGAAGUUGACCGCCUGGGGAGUACGGUCGCAAGAUUAAAACUCAAAGGAAUUGACGGGGUCAUAGCUGUUUCCU
rnacentral:rRNA from 1 species